rnacentral:rRNA from 1 species
GAACGGGGAUAAGACAUCGGAAGAGCUGCUUGCAGAAUGGAAGAAGUCAUAUUCUAGUGGCGGACGGGUGAGUAACGCGUGGGCAACCUGCCUUAUACAGGGGGAUAACAGCUGGAAACAGCUGCUAAUACCGCAUAAGCGCACAGCGGCGCAUGACGCAGUGUGAAAAACUGAGGUGGUAUAAGAUGGGCCCGCGUCUGAUUAGCUGGUUGGGAGGGUAACGGCCUACCAAGGCGACGAUCAGUAGCCGGCCUGAGAGGGCGGACGGCCACAUUGGGACUGAGACACGGCCCAGACUCCUACGGGAGGCAGCAGUGGGGAAUAUUGCACAAUGGGGGGAACCCUGAUGCAGCGACGCCGCGUGAGUGAAGAAGUAUUUCGGUACGUAAAGCUCUAUCAGCAGGGAAGAAAAAAGGACGGUACCUGAGUAAGAAGCCCCGGCUAACUACGUGCCAGCAGCCGCGGUAAUACGUAGGGGGCAAGCGUUAUCCGGAAUUACUGGGUGUAAAGGGAGCGUAGACGGCAAUGCAAGUCCGGAGUGGAAUGCGACAGCUCAACUGCCGAACUGCUCUGGAAACUGUAUGGCUUGAGUGCAGGAGGGGUAAGCGGAAUUCCUGGUGUAGCGGUGAAAUGCG